rnacentral:tRNA from 1 species
GCUACUGUGGCGCAGUUGGUAGCGCAAUUGAUUCGUAAUCAAUAGGUCAGGGGUUCGAAUCCCCUCAGUAGCUCCA